CCAGCUUCCAGGAGACAAUGGCCUGAAGAGAAAGCCCCAGUCACCCCAGGGGAGGCAGGGAAGCAUCUACCUCUGGCUCUAUCUCUAGCAUCAUUCUUUCUCUCUGGGUCUCUGAGUUCUUAGGUCAGGGAUGGUGUCUCUCUUGCUAAUAGCCCUGUCUCCAGAAGCACACAGGCUUGGCACACACCCUCCCCUUCACCAGCUCCGCGGAAACCAUAGCAACGGGCAGCCGGAAGAUGCGGCCAUUCCUCUCCCUUUUGUCCAUUGCAUUUCAGCAGCGCCCGCGCACAUGGACGCUCCAAUUACAGCUCUAGAGGCUAGAAAUUGGCAGUCAGGAUGUGUGUAAGGCCACGCUCCCUCUGAAGACUCCAGGGGAGGAUCUUUCCUUGCCUCCUCCAGCUUCUGGUGGCUGCCAGCAUCCUUGGCAUUCCUUGGCCUGUGGACACAUCACUCUCAUCUCUGCCCAUGGUCACAACCCCAAGCUCCAGAAUACAGACCAGCAGGCGAGGAGACAAGGAGGCAAGCAGAUGGAUGGUGGAACAAAGUGGCAGAGAAAGAGAGAAGAGGAGAGAUGUCUGGACGCCAAGAGGAGUCUGGCUGGGGCCAGUCAGAGAAGAGUCCAGCGGCUGGGCAGCCCGACUCCAGGGGAAGAUCACCUUCCCACUCCAUCCCCCUUCACGCUCCCCAUCCAUCUCACUAAGAGCCAUCUCUACCACUCAAUAAAACCUUGCAUUCAUCCUUCAA
rnacentral:lncRNA from 1 species